UGGGAAGCGAGGAAGGCGGGAAGAGGGCACUUGGAGGAGAAAGGCAUCAUCCACCCUAUGCCUGUGCGUCAGCCAUGAUGGUGGACGGUUGUGGGCAGAUCCGAUGUCUGCAUGUGGAUCUACUACUCGGGAUGGCAUGACAUGGUUGUUGUGGAGUGAGGUGCCACAACUGUUGUGUUGUGUGGGUGAGUUCGGAGAGAUAGAAGUCGUGUUUCACUCUAGUCUAGGCCUUCAACUGUACCAAGUUCAACUUAUUUAGAGUUUCUGCUCUCUCAAGCUCAAGCCUUUCUCUGAACCAAAUCUAACCCAAGAAACCGCUUAGCUAUAAAAGUUUUGAUAACAUGGACUUAUAUUGAUGUGCUUAACUUAUGGAAUUGUAAGAGCACCUGUUAAGCACCAACAAAUUUUGCCUGGAAUAAAGUUGACAUGAAAUUGUGAUUGUGUGAGUUAAAUCAUUUUACAUCCUUAAGCCCCAAGAUGCGCCAAGUUGGGUGGUGCCAUACAGAAUUUGUUUUGAGGAGUUAUGAUUGGAGUCUGAUGGUGAUGUAGAACUGAUAUUCCGGAGAUAGUCAAAGAUUUUUUGGUGGAUUAUUAUAUUUUAGGUCUAGUUGAGCAUGGUGAUUAUUAUAUUGGUGGAUAAAUAGGUCUAUUAAUCUUGGAACUAUUUUGAUUUAGUUCGAUGAUUGUGAUCUUGAACCAAAUUUCACGAUGGAUAAAUAACUUUAAUUGUACAUAUAAAGAUCCAUAGUCUGUCAAUAGAACUUGUGGUUUAUAUUGGAUUUAGAUAACCAUGAGUUUGGAGUUUAUUUAAAUUAUGGUUAUGAUGUUGGUGGAUUGCUUUGUGUUAAAUUCACACUUUUGGAGAUUGAAGUUGGAGAACUUUAGGGUGUAGUAUGUUGAACCUUGGAUAUAUCAAAUUUAUAUAGGUUAGAUGAGAGUUUGCAGCACCAAUCAUGAUUAUAAUAAUUGGUAGGUUAUUGGAGCAUCUGGAAUUGGAUUAGUAGCAAGGAAAGGAGGAUUUUGAAGUAACACAACUUGUGUUUCCUUUAGGCUAGAUGAGUCUUAGCAACAUGAAUCAUGAUUAUGAAAAUGGUGGAUUAUUGGAGCAUCUGGGAUUGGAUUUAUAGUAAGGAAACAAGGAUCUUGGAGUAGCACAACUUGUGUUUCCUUUAAGUUAAAUGAUAUAGCUACUUGGAUUCUAGGAUGGAGAUAACUUUGGCACUCGGAUUUGUGAUGUUUUGAACUAAGCUUAGUAUUAGUAGCUUGCAUGUGCCCCAUAUGGAUAAAAUCAUGAAUAUGAUACAUGUGGAUUAGAGUUGUUAGACGUAGGUUAUUUUUGUGUCCCUCCCCAAGAAUGUUAUGAGUACAAGAUCAUCAUUUUGGAUUAAUUUGAAGAGAUGGCAAUUUUCAUGGUAUGUGAUAACCUUGUGGGAGUUGGCCCAUAUGAGCAUCAUAAUAGCUAGCAUUAGAGAAACAGUGUUUAUGUAUGUUAUGGUGAACUUUAACCCUCACACCCAAAUCCUAUCAACCCUUAAGUCUCACCAAGCCAUGACUUGGCCAAGCCGCGACAACGGAGCUGGAUAUUAAGCCUAAGGAUGUGGCCCUUGGACCAACUCUUAUACUCCACCUAUUUGAUGAACAUCAUGAACAACAUAUUCAUGAGUUUUUGGACAAGUUUGUGGUUAUCAUCAUUGAUGACCUCUUGGUCUAUUCUCCCUCUGAGGAAGAUGAUAAGCAACACUUGCGAAUGGUUUUGGACAAACUUCAAGAACCCCAAUUAUAUUCCAAGUUCAAGAAGUAUAAAAUUUGGUUAAAAGAAGUUGGGUUGUGAGGACAUGUUUUGUCCAUAGAAGGUUUGUUAAUAGACCCGUCAAGGAUAGAAUCCAUAACCACUUGGAGGGCUAAAUGAAUGUGGUCAGAAGUUUCUGCGGACUUAUGGGUUAUUACCGCAAAUUUGUGGAAGACUUUUGAGCACCACCGAUGACUUUUAACUCCUGAAGAAAGAUAAGAAGUUUGAAUGAACGCUUAAGUGUGAAGAGAGCUUCCAAGAGUUUAAGAAAAGGUUAACCGUUGGUCCGUCCUUAGCCACCCCAGACAUUUAUAAGAGUUCUAAAAUUAUUGUGAUGCAUCUAAGCAUGGACUUAUGAAGGGAACUACCCUACCCAUGAUUUGGAUAUAGCAGAAGUAGAUGCUUGACGUAUGUCUUCUUCUAGAUGAACUUAAACAUGAGAAAAAGAAGAUGGGGAGAUUUAAUCAACCACUAUGACUUUGAUAUCCAUUACCACCCAGAUAAGUGAUGAAGUGGCUCUCGGGCUCUCGGCAGGAAGUCGUAUCAAGAAGAAUAGAAGAAAUUAAUGAAAUAAGUUAGGCGCAGAGCUAGUCAGUAGUGGCUAUCACGCUAACUUCGAUAUUAGGCCCACUCCUAGGUUGAAUCAAGAAGAAUAGAAGAAAUCAAUGAAAUAAUCAAGCAUGGGAAGGCCCUGCAUUCCUUUGGUUUGGAUGUCGCAUCUGCAUAUCUAACCAAGAAGGUUUGAAGAAGUGGAAUCUACAAGCAGCUCAUGGCACCCCUUUAUUCCAUCCACCUAGGGAGUACCAAGUUAUACCAGGACGGAAGGAGUUCCUAGUGGAAUGGAAUGGAUCUAGUUAGGUGAUUGUGAUCUUGAGGAGAUAGUCAAAUAUGUUCGAUUGAUUAUGAAAUUUUAGGUCUACUAUGAGCAUGAUGAUUAUUAUAUUUGUGGAUAAAUCAAAUAUUUAAUUAAUAUUGGAACAAUUUGGAUUUUGGUUAGGUGAUUUUGAUCUUCAGAAGUUGGUCAAAUAUGUUCGGUGGAUUAAGGGAUUUAAGUCUAUUGGGCGGGUAUGUUGAUUAUUAUAUUGGUGGAUAAAUAGAUCCUUGAUUAAUCUUGAAACUAUUUGCUUUUAGUUACAUAUAAUUGUAAUGUUGAACCAAAUUUUACGGUGGAUUGUGAGACUUUAGGUGGGUUUAGUUAGAUGAUUAUGAUCUUGAGAUAGUCAAAGGUAUUCGGUGGAUUAUCAGAUUUUAGGGCUAGUAAGUGAACAUGAUGAUUAUUAUAUUGGUAGAUAAAAAGAUCUUUAAUUAAUCUUUGAAACAUUUGGAUUUGGUUACAUGAUUGUUAUCUUGAACCAAAUAUCACGGGGGAUUAUGAUUAGGUGUAUUUGGUUAGGUGAUUGUGAUUUUCAGGAGAUAGUUAAAGAUGUUCGGUGGAUAUGAGAUUUUAGGUCUAGUAUGAGCAUGUGUACUUUAUAUUGGUUGAUAAAUACAUUUUCAACAACAAUUUGGAUUUAGUUACAUGAUUGUUAUGGUCUUGAAGCAAAUUUCACGAUGGAUCAUGAGUUUUUGGUGGAUCUAGUUAGCUGAUUGUGAUCUUGAGGGAAUAGUCAAAGAUGUUUGAUGGAUUAUGAGACAUAUCUUUAAUUAUCUUGGAACAAAUUGGAUUUAGUUAGGUGAUUGUGAUCUUCAACUAAAUUUUACGAUGGAUUAUAAGAGUUUAGGUGGAUUUAGUGACGUGAUUGUGCUCUUAAGAAAAUAGUUAGUGAGCAUGACGAUUAUUCUAUGUGAGUGACCAAGACGAUGAUGCCACAAAGAGUCGGUAGACAAGGAGAGGCGAAGAGACUGGCCGUGGUGUCAUCAGAGGGAAGGGGAAGCUAGUCAGCUCCCAGAGGGCCUGGGAGUUAUAGCGUCGAGGAGCAGCAACAAGUAGAGCAUCCGAGUGAGGAUCGGAAUCGGAACAAGAGUUAAAGUCAAGAAUGUAACCACCUGAAAUGAGCUGCAUGGGUCGAGGGACAUGAGCAAAACUAGGAACAUGAAAAGAUGAAGUGCUAAGAGUGCCCCGACUAUCGAUUGGGAGGAAAGUUCCUAAGAACGUGAACAUGAGAAUCUGGAGGUUGAAUGGCAGACAAAUGGAAGAAUCAAACAAAGAAGCACUUGGCAGUGAAACUAGAAGUGGAUGUCAAAGUCGUGCAAUUUUUGUUUCUCGUUGAUCUGGCUUGGUGUCCUUCCCUUGUAUGCGGGUUAUGUGUCACGGACUUGAUGUCGCAUCCUACGUUCCCUUGUUGGGGGCCCUUGGCCCCGGCGACAGGUAGCGUCGUGCACACAUCAUGUGGGUUAGACAUUGCGGUGCCGACUGCCCCUGCUCCUGCUUCGCCGAUAGGUGGUGCUCGAGCGUUCGGCUAUGGCGGCGCCCAGCAGGGGAACAUGGGUUGUGGGAUCGAGGCAGCACACAAAGCAACCUGUAGCCAAGCAAAGGAUGCCCAACCGGACUGGCGUGGAGCGGAGAGUGCACGAGGGGUGUGGGGGAAGGGUGAAAAUGUCGUCGGGAGUGGGACUGCCGCUGCCGUCAGAUUUUGAACCUGGAGUCGAGCGGUGAUGACGAUAUGGGAAGCAAGGAAGGCAGGAAGAGGGCACUUGGGAGGAGAAAGGCAUCAUCCACCCUAUGCUUGUGCGUCAACCAUGAUAGUGGACAGUUGUGGGCAGAUCCGAUGUCUGCACGUGGAUCUACUACUCGGGAUGGCACGACAUGGUUGUUGUGGAAUGAAGUGCCACAACUGUUGGGUUGUGUGGGUGAGUUUGGAGAGAUAGAAAUCGUGUUUCACUCUAGUCUAGGCCUUCAACUGUACCAAGUUCGACUUAUUUAGAGUUUCUGCUCUCUCAAGCUCAAGCCUUUCUCUGAACCAAAUCUAACCCAAGAAAUUGCUUAGCUAUAAAAGUUUUGAUAGCAUGGACUUGUAUUGAUGUGCUUAACUUAUGGAAUUGUAAGAGCACCGGUUAAGCACCAACAACUUUUGCCUGGAAUAAAGCCGACAUGAAAUCGUGAUUGUGUGAGUUAAUCAUUUUACAUCCUUAAGCCCCAACAUGCGCCAAGUUGGGUGGUGCCAUACAGAAUUUGUUUUGAGUUAUGAUUGGAGUUUGAUGGUGAUGUAGAACUGAUACAAAAUUUGUUUUGAGGAGUUUAUUUAAAUCAUGGUUAUGAUGUUGGUGGGUUGCUUUGUGUUAAAUUCACACUUUUGGAGAUUGAAGUUGGAUUACUUUAGGGUGUAGUAUGAUCAACCUUGGAUAUAUCAGAUAUUUAUAGGUUAGAUGAGAGUUUGCAGCACCAAUCAUGAUUAUCAUAAUGGGUGGAUUAUUGGAGCAAAUGGAAUUGGAUUAGUAGUAAGGAAACAAGGAUUUUGAAGUAACAUGACUUGUGUUUCCUUUAGGCUAGAUGAAACUUAGCAACAUCAAUCAUGGUUAUGAAAGUAGUGGAUUAUUGGAGCGUCUAGGAUUGGAAGGAAACAAGGAUCUUGGAGUAGCACAACUUGUGUUUCCUUUAGGUUAAAUGAUAUAGCUACUUGGAUUCAAGGAUGGAGAUAACUUUGGCACUCGGAUUUGUGAUGUUUUGAUCUAAGCUUACAAGGUUGCAUUUGCCCCAUAUGGAUAUAGGAUAUAAUCAUGAAUAUGAUACAUGUGGAUCAGAGUUGUUAGACGUAGGUGAUUUUUGUGUCCCUCCCCUAGAAUGUCACAAGUACAAGAUCAUCAUUUUGGAUUAAUUUGAAGAGAUGGCUAUUUUGAUGGUAUGUGAUAACCUUGUGGGAGUUGGGCCAUGUGAGCAUCAUAAUAGAGAGAAGCGGUGUCUAAGUAUGUUAUGGUGAAUUUUCACCCUCACAUCCAAAUCCUAUCAACCCUUAAGUCUCACCCUUAACUCUCACCAAACCAUGACUUAGUCGAGCCGUGAUAGCGGAGCUGGAUAUUAAGCCUAAGUAUGUGAGCUGGAUAUUAAGCCUAAGUAUGUGGCCCUUGGACUAACCGUUAUACUCCACCUAUUUGAUGAACAUCAUGAACAACAUGUUCAUGAGUUCUUGGACAAGUUUGUGAUUAUCAUCAUUGAUAACCUGUUGGUCUAUUCUCCCUCCGAGGAAGAUCAUAAGCAACACUUCAGAAUGGUUUUGUACAAACUUCAAGAACCCCAAUUAUAUGCCAAGUUCAAGAAGUAUAAAAUCCGGCUAAAAGAUGUUGGGAUGUGAGGACAUGUUUUGUCCAUAGAAGGUUUGUUAAUAGACCCGUCAAGGAUAGAAUCCAUAACCACGUGGAAGGCUAAACGAAUGUGAAGUCAGAAGUUUCCUUGGACUUACGGGUUAUUACCACAAAUUUGUGGAAGACUUCGAGCACCACUAAUGACUUAACUCCUGAAGAAAGAUAAGAAGUUUGAAUGAACGCCCAAGUGUGAAGAGAGCUUCCGAGAGUAUAAGAAAAGGUUAACCACUGAUCCGUGCUUAGCCACCCCAAACAUUUAUAAGAGUUUUAAAUUUAUUGUGUCUAAGCAUGGACUUUGUUCUGUCUUGACGUAAGAAGGAAGACUCGUGGCCUAUCAAGGCAACUACGUCCUCAUGAAGAGAACUACCCUAACCAUGAUUUGGAUCUAGCAGCAGUAGUGCAUGCUUUAAGUGAAGAUGGUUAGAUUUAAUCAACCACUAUGACUUUGAUGUCCAUUACCAUCCAAAUAAGUGACGUAGUGGAUACUCUCAGCUGGAAUUCGUGUCCCUGUCCUGCCUUGACCAAGCAGAGCAAUUAGUGCUACCUGAAGUCUUCGAUAAGUUUGCCAUAGAGCUAGUCAGUAGUGGCUAUCACGCUAACUUCGAUAUUAGGCCCACUCCUAGGUUGAAUCAAGAAGAAUAGAAGAAAUCAAUGAAAUGAUCAAGCAUGAGAAAGCCUUGCAUUCUUAGAAGAUGAGCAAUGUGUUCUUUGGUUUAGAGGUCACAGCUGCAUACCAAACAAAUAAGGUUUGAAGAUGUGGAAUCUACAAGUAGCUUAUGGCACCCCUUUAUUCCAUCCACCUAGGGAGUACCAAGUUAUACCAGGACCAAGUGAGUUCUUAGUGGAAUGGAAUGGAUUUAGUUAGGUGAUUGUGAUCUUGUGGAGAUAGUCAAAUGUGUUCUGUUGAUUAUGAGAUUUUAGGUCUAGUAUGAACAUGCUGAUUAUUAUAUUGGUGGAUAAACCAGUAUUUCAAUUAUUGGAAGAAUUUGGAUUUUAGUUAUGUGAUUUUGAUCUUCAGAAGAUAGUCAAAUAUGUUCGGUGGAUUAAGGGAUUUAACUCUAUUGGGCAAGUAUGGUGAUUAUUGUAUUUAGUUAGGUAUAACUGUGAUCUUGAACCAAAUUUUACGGUGGAUUGUGAGACUUUAGGUGGAUUUAGUUAGGUGAUUAUGAUCUUGAGGAGAUAGUCAAAGGUGUAUGGUGGAUUAUCAGAUUUUAGGGCUAGUAAGUGAGCAUGAUGAUUAUUAUAUUGGUAGAUAAAUAGAUCUUUAAUUAAUCUUGGAAAUAUUUGGAUUUAGUUACGUGAUUUUUAUCUUGAACCAAAUAUCGCGGGGAUUAUGAUUAGGUUGAUUUGGUCAGGUGAUUGUGAUCUUCAGGAGAUAGUUAAAGAUAGUCAGGUGAUUGUGAUCUUGAGGGAAUAAUCAAAGAUGUUUGGUGGAUAAUGAGACAUAUCUUUAAUUAAUCUUGGAACAAAUUGGAUUUAGUUACGUGAUUGGUAUCUUGAAGCAAAUUUGACGAUGGAUUUUGAUUUUUUUGGUGGAUUUAGUUAGGUGAUUGUGAUCUUCAAUUAAAUUUUACUGUGGAUUAUAAGAUUUUAAGUGGAUUUGGUUAGAUGACUGAGCUCUUGAGAAAAUAGUUAGUGAGCAUGAUUAUUAUUCUAUUGAUGGAUAAAUAGAUCUUUAUUUAAUUUUGGGUAAUUUGAAUUUAGUUAGGUCAUUGUUAUCUUGAACCAAAUUUUACGGUGGAUUUUAAGUUUUUUUGUUGGAUUUAGCUAGGUGAUUGUGAUCUUGAGGAGAUAGUCAAAGAUGUUCGGUGGAUUGCGAGAUUUUAGGUCUAGUAUGGGCAUUGUUGUUAUUAUAUUGGUGAAUAAACAUAUCUGUAAUUAAUCUUGGAACACUUUGGAUUUAGUUAGGUACUUAGGUGAUUCUGAUCUUGAAGCAAAUUUGACCACAGAUUAUGAGUUUUUGGUGGAUUUAGUUAGGUAAUUGUGAUCUUCAGGAGAUAGUCAAAGAUGUUUGGUGAAUUAUGACAUUUUAGUUCUAGGAAGUGAGGAUGGUGAUUAUUAUGUUGGUGGAUAAACAGAUUUUCAAUUAGUCUUCGAACAAUUUAGAUUUAAUUAGGCGAUUGUUAUCUUCAAGCAAAUUUACGGGUGGAUUGUGUGAUUUUAGGUGGAUUUAGUUAGGUGAUUGUCAUCUAGAGGAGAUAGUCAAAGAUGUUCCCUACCAAUAUAUUGGUGGAUAAUCAAAGAGGCCCCAACUACGUGCUCCCUUAAAGUAUUGCAUUAGCUUAUUCACAAAAUAUCUGUAAUUAAUGGAACAAAUUGGAUUUAGUUGGGUAAUUGUGAUCUUGAUGCAAAUUUGAUGAUGGAUUAUGAGUUUUUGUGUGGAUUUACUUGGAUGAUCAUGAUCUUGAGGAGAUAGUAAAAUGUUCAAUGAAUUAUGAGAUUUUAGAUCUAGUACUUGAGCAUAAUGAUUAUUAUAUUGAUGGAUAACCAGAUCUUCAAUUAAUCUUGGAACACUUUUGAUUUAUUUAGGUGAUGGUGACUUGAAGCAAUUUUGUCUGUGGAUUAUGAUAUCAUAGGUGGAUUGAGUUAGGUGAUUGGUGUUGAGGAGAUACUCAAAGAUGUUCAGAGGAUUAUGAGAUUUUGGGUCUACUAUGAGCAUGGCUACUAUUAUAUUGGUGGAUAAAUAGAUCUUCAGUCAAUCUUGCGACAAUUUGGAUUUAGUUAGGUGAUUAUGAUCUUGAACCAAAAUUCACGGUGCAUGAUAAAAUUUUAGGUGGAUUUAGUUAGAUGAUUGUGAUCUUGAGGAGAUAGUAAAAAAUGUUCGGUGAAUUAUGAGAUUUUAGGUCUAAUAUGAGCAUGGUUACUACUAAUAUUGGUGGAUAAACAGAUCUUCAAUCAAUCUUGCAACAAUAUGGAUUUAGUUAGGUGAUUAUGAUCUUGAACCAAAAUUCACGGUGGGUUAUAAAAUUUUAGGUGGAUUUAGUUAGGUGAUUGUGAUCUUGAGGAGAUAGUCAAAAAGUUCGGUGGACUAUGAGAUUUUAGGUCUAGUAUGAGCAUGGCUAUUAUUAUAUUGGUGGAUAAACAUAUCUCCAAUUAAUUUUGAAACAAUUUGGAUUUAGUUAGGUGAUUGAACUUGAAGCAAAUUUAACGAAGAAUUACGAGUUUUUCUUUGAUUUAGUUAGGUGAUUGUGAUCUUGAGGAGAUUGUCAAAGAUAUUCGGUGGAUUAUUGGAUUUUAGGUCUAGUAAGUGAGCAUUAUGAUUACUCUCUUGAUGGAUAAGUAGAUCUUUAGAGAUCGGCAGGUGGACAACAUGAAACAACCGGACUUGUGGAAGAUGUCGUCCAAGAUACACCGGUGACGAUAUACGUAGCACCCGAAGGCCAUCCCCACAACAGCAACCAUUGCCCAACACCACGCCACCCCAAGCCUCACGAAACCACCAAGGCAACCAACACCACGAGCACUCAGGCAGCAAUUCGACGAUGUGGUGCCGCCGCUCCCAGGUCCGGAGAAGUGGACCUAGGGGACGGUCAAGGCUUCCAGGGAGGAGACGGAGCCCACAAACGUCGCCAUUGUUCGCAGCCACUGCUGCAGCUGCAGCCACGCAGGGAUUUUCCCCGAGCACCUUGCCACCAACCACGCCACCGUGAAGCAGAACAUGUCUUCGAAUGAGACAUCACAUGUCCAAGCCAAGCUUAGUUUCUGAGUCAAAAGAUGUCUUCGAUCAGAAAGCCAGUAACAAGUAUUGGAUUGAUGUGCAACUAAGAUGGGGAGACUACGAUUCACACGGCAUAGAACGUUACACAAGAACAGACAGAUAAUAUGUCCAUCUACCCUUCUCCGACUGGGGUGAUGAUUGGACUGAUCUAGCUUAUAAUUUGCACUCUGCUUUUGGUAACUGCUUCCCCGGGUGAAAGCCCCUCCUCUAGCAAGCAAUGAACAAGAUCAUGAAGUCAAAUCCUGCUAUGUAUGUGCCGAGGGAGAGAAUAAGAAAGGGUCCUCAAUUGUCAUCCAUAGAAGUGUAUGGGCGGGACAAAAGUGUCUAGGGCAGCUGGCCAAGUGGAAAACAGCCGAGGAGGUUGCUGCACUAGUUCGAUCGCUUCCCGUUGAAGAGCAGCCAAAGCAAAUUAUUUUGACAAGGAAGUGUGUGUUGGAAGUCCAUCUGCCAUUCCAAGCUUGCUUGAAGAUUGACAAGUUUGGUCUCAAGGCUACAGAACCGCAGAUGGUUCUUUAUAACAUAUACGAUGACUGGUUGAAAAGUAUCUCGUCCUACACUGCAUUCUCUCGUCUUGUGCUUAUACUACGAGCAUUACAUGUCAAUAAUGAGAAGGCCAAGAUGUUGCUGAAGCCCGACAAGACAAUGGUUACGGAACUGCUUCAUAUCUGGCCAUCAAUCUUUGACUGAUGAGUACUGUCUGAAGGUGGAAUGUGCGCUCAGGGAUCUCAUUUUUUCAGAUUAUGCAAAGAAAAACAAUGUUAAUACUUCUGCUCCACCGUCACAGCAGAGGCAACAGAUAGCCGAGAUUGAGAAACAUUCCCGACAGCUAGGCAGCGGUUAAUUUGAAAAGAAAACGAGAGUAUAAACUCAUGGCAUUGUCUCUAUUGUAAAAUUUCACAUCCAACCCACAAAGUUAAGUCUUGCGCCAGCGACUGAUGCAAUGUAGUGAUCCAUGGUUGCAGCUCCUGAGAAAUACAGACAGACCACUCAGUUUAUUGCAAGUAUUUCUUCAGUUCAGCUUAUUACCAGAUGUAGUUAUUUGAAAAAAUGCAAUAUUCUUGAGCCGUUCACAAUUUGCAUUCAUGGGUGCAGUUUAUUUCACGGCAAAGAAGGUUGAUUAUAUGAACUUAUAUCAGAGAACUGCACUGAUUAUAUGAACUUAUAUCAGAGAACUGCAUCUACCUAGAAUCUACAGACACAGGAUGCAGGCUUCCUGCAUGGGCAGGAUAAAUCACCGAUUUAUCCUUUUUCUAUGGAAUUUCCUGUGUUAUUUUUUUGACUUAUUGAGUUGUUUUUGUCUCUGCAUUUGACAUGGGCCAAAUGGAUAAUUUUGUGUUGGUGAUGCAGAUUGGAAUACUGCUCGGUGGUGUUACACUCUUUGGAAAUUGAUGACCCUUUUUUGUUGGUUUUGAUAAUUUGCUAUUAAAUGCGGAUCUUGCCUUACCUAUAUGAUAGGGAGGUAAUUCGUGAACUUGCAAUUGUGAGAUGGGCGGAAGAAAAAGGAAAUGCUAAUGGGUCCAAUAAAGUUUUCGUCAAACAGUCUGUUGCUUUUAUUCAGCAAGACCCACAUUGUGCUGCAAUUUGUCGAAGAAGAGUAGAGUUGAAGUGAAAUGCAUCGUGCUGCAAUUUGGGUGGUGUCCUGGUGAGUUUGCACCUAGGAAGUUUUGGAAGCUAGAAAAUUUGUUUGUACAACAACAUAACUCCAGCGACUGGGGAAGAAGAAUGACGCCUUGUUUACAGAACCCUGGAAAUGCUCUGAAAAAGAAGGAUCGUACUGGGGCGUUGACUGAAUGGUGCACCUGAUGCCAGCAAGCGCUCACACUCGUCCCUUGUUUAUUUUCCGCUGAAUGGUGGUGUUGAUCUUUCGAUUUGUUGUAACCUUUCAAUUGUAUUGUGUGGCUUGGCACUCCACGGAUACCAAGUAUUUUGGUAUGCCGCGAUUUAUUCGGUUAACAAAGAUUGGCUGGCUGUUUGUUGAACAUGAACGUCUGUUUGCGACAUGAAUGAUAGCGCCCUGGCUGUUUGUUGAA